UAUGUUUGGUUGCGCGUUUGCACACCUCAAACUCACGUUUUGGACCCCAAACGUGAUUCUCUUCUUUUGCCAAUAUGUUUGGUUUCUCUUCGACAACGUGAUUUUGACCUGUAAACUCGAUUCUAACAGAAGCUGGAAAUCCUAGCUUUUACGAUUUGUCACACCUAGCUACUGCAUGUUGUCUUUCCUCUACGAAAUUGACAGCAACACCGAUCCGUCUCCCACCAAAAGUAGAAAUGGUGAUGAUGUUUCUAUUGAGAAUGAGCAAAGUCGAGCAUAAAUUUGGGAUUGUGAAAUUGAAGAACUGUGAGAAUGAAAAUGGACAAUUAAUGAGAAAAAUUGUUAAUUUGAAAGACAGAUUGGUGAAGAAUAGUUGAGGGAAGGAGAAGAAUUGUCUUUGUUGCGUUUGAAAGUUCUAGAUAAAUGGUGAAAAUAAUUGAAGUAAUUUUUAGGUUUUUCGUCUAAGUGUUGGGCUUUUUUAUUUUUAUUACUAUUGGGUUUCCUUUUAUUGGGAAAAUUGGAUUGGAGUUUUUUUUCUCUAUGCAGAUGUGCUCUUGGGAAUAUUGGGUCGGAGGUUUUAUUUGAUAAUUCUAUUAUUUUUUAUA